GUCGUCUUCUGAGACUUCUCAUACGCAGAGAUCUCGCCCUCGUGAAUCCUUCGCCUCCGAUCGAUACCCUAGUUCUUGAUGCUCCUCUGAGGGAGGAGUGGAAGCGAUCGAGGCAUGGAUCGGAUCGUCGGCGGGAAGUACAAGCUAGGGCGCAAGAUCGGGAGUGGAUCCUUCGGCGAGAUCUUUCUCGCGACACACGUCGACACGUUUGAGAUCGUCGCGGUUAAGAUCGAGAGCACUCGGUCCAAGCAUCCACAGUUACUAUACGAGGCCAAGUUGUACAACAUUCUUCAGGGUGGAAGUGGUAUCCCUAACAUAAAAUGGUGUGGCGUCGACGGAGAGGAUAAUGUGCUUGUUCUUGAUUUGCUUGGUCCAAGCCUUGAGGAUCUGUUUGUCUAUUGCGGUCGCAAGUUCUCGUUAAAGACAGUUCUGUUGCUUGCAGAUCAGAUGCUUUCAAGAAUAGAGUAUGUGCACUCAAAGGGUUUUCUACACAGAGACAUAAAACCUGAUAACUUCCUAAUGGGUCUCGGUCGAAAAGCCAAUCAGGUAUACAUCAUUGAUUUUGGGCUUGCAAAAAGAUAUAGGGAUUCUACCACCAACCGUCAUAUUCCAUACAAAGAAAAUAAGAGCUUGACUGGAACUGCUCGUUAUGCAAGUUGCAAUACUCAUCUAGGCAUUGAGCAAAGUCGUCGGGAUGAUUUGGAAUCUCUAGGUUAUGUUUUUCUCUAUUUCCUCAGAGGGAGUCUUCCAUGGCAAGGUCUGAAAGCUGCCACAAAGAAACAGAAGUAUGAUAAGAUUUGCGAGAAGAAGCUUUCAACUCCUAUUGAAGUUUUAUGUAAAUCUCAUCCUGUGGAAUUUGCUUCAUACUUCCAUUACUGCCACUCUUUGACAUUUGAGCAACGGCCUGAUUAUGGAUUUCUAAAGCGCCUCUUCCAUGACUUGUUUAAUCGUGAAGGUUAUGAAUCUGAUUAUAUUUUUGACUGGACGAUUUUGAAGUAUCAGAAAGCCCAAAGGACAAAAUCUCAGCUUCGGUUCUCUCCAGUUGCUGGUGGGAUGACUAGCCUCCGACCGACUCCAAUGGAUGUUGACAAACAUCAAGUUACAAAUGCACAUAAUGUUCCUCGCCCUCAUGAAGUUACAGAGCAUAUUGGACCAAGUAGUUCUGCAUGUCCUACGGUUCAAAUGCAGUUCAAGCUUGCAGCUGAUAAUACUUUGAGUUCUGACAAUCAGCAAAUUGACAAGUUGAAGGUGGGAACAAGCUCUGAGAAAGCACAAGCACCAAGUACAUCAUUUGCUUUUCCUGGUGCACCAAAGAAAAAUGUCAUUAGUUCCAAACAAUCAGGUCCAACUGAUACUUCGCACCUUGGUUCAUCCAGCAGUUGGAUCUCUAUGAUACACCGCAAUACCUCAGCCAAAUGACUGGUGUAGGUUCAAAUGGAGGUUAGGUCCCACAAAAGAGGAAGCCUAUGCUACAAAGGUGGCUUCAAAUCUGUUGUUACUCGAGUCGCUUCAUGGAUAUCAGGAUACAUAGUGUUUUCGUGUUAAGAACAUGAUGCUGUUGUGGUAGAGAGCAACAUAUAUGCUUUUGAAGGUUUCUGACAAAGAUUCUGGAUCAAGCAACUUGAUGAAAAACAUGUCUUCAGUAUGGAAAACAUGAACAAAUUUUCAGAGAGCACAAAAAAGACACGUGAAUCGAGAUUUAAUAACUCAAGAUAGUAACAAGUAUUUUGAAGACACGAUAUGGUAAUCAUACAGAAAAAGAAGCACCUCUCUGAGCAUUCUUUUCAACUGUACAUUAUUACAAUGAUUUGUAUGCAAUCAUGACUGGAAUGUAGCUAAUUAUCUCAUUGUCAGGUAUAUAGAAAUUUUCCCUCUAGUUAUGCAUCCAUAUCAUUUUAAACAAUUAGAUUGUAGAUGGUGUACCUGACUCACACGUUACGUUGAGGAUUUGGAAUCUUAUAUUAUAAAUUUUUAGACUUAAAUUGUUAGUCUUAAGUUGAUAAUUUGAAAUCUUAUCUAAUAAAUGUUUAAACCUAAAUGACUAGUCUGAUGAUGAUGGUGUACCUGAUGCGCCUUAAGUAGAAUAAAAAUAAAAACAUUUGUACCAAAGCUCACUUCCGGUUUCGUGAGUACAAUAAUUUAGUUAUCAAAGUUAGGCAAUUCUAUAUUACUAAAAAAAAAUUAUACAAUAUGAUCAGGCAUGCUGUUGCUUUUCUCGGUCCUAAUAUUCAUCUGGGUAUAGACCUAGCUUAGAAAGAAAUAAUUGACUUCUUGGAAUACUACGUGCAACAUAAGUCUGAGAGAACCUAGUCGUUAGAUAUCAAAAGAACUUUGUUCCUUAAAAUUAUGCUUGGAAUGUAGUCAACGGCAAAAUAAGACUUCGUUCCUUAAAAUUAUGCAUUAACGAGUCAGUUUUUUUUAGUGUCAAAGAAUCUUCCUCGUAUCAGGCAGUAUUGGUAUGACAACAAACAACUUCCAUAUAGUUCCCUAAAUAAUGAAACAUUUAUUUCUCUAAUUCACAGAAGAAAAUAUAACUCAUGUUUACAGAGAUCGCCUUUCCAACAUCUCACCAAAGAUUCAUGACAAUUUAACCUGCAAGGCCUUUUUUUCCUAGAAAUACUCAAAAUCAAAGUAGGAAGAAUCACUUGCACUGCCCUUGCUUCCACUACUCCCAGAGAGGCCACCGUCAGUGGCCUUCUUCUCCUUGCUCGCAAACUGACUGUAGUUGAUCGGUUCAGGAAUGUGGGGUGGCGCCAUGCUUCUCACCAACGCCCAGUUCACACCCUCAAAGAAGUGGUGUUGCUUGAUUUCUGUAGCACCUCUGUGGUAAGCAAUUCUUCUUUGUGGGUCCUUCACAAGCAGGCCUUGGAUGAGGUCUCGAGCAACCAGGCUCACCAGUGGGGUUUCCGGAAACCUCAGCGGUUGGCCGACCACAUUAUGAAGCGUGGCACGGUUGCCUGAUCCCUUGAAGGGGGUCGUGCCAUGCAAAAGCUCGUACAGAAAGAUCCCAAACGUCCACCAGUCCACUGCACUGCCAUGUCCCUCGCCUCGAAUGAUCUCCGGCGCUAGGUACUCGUGUGUCCCGACGAACGACAUCGAUCGGGCGUUUGUUGGCUCUGCCAUGAACUCCAAGGCAGAGCCAUUGUUGAUGCCGAAAUCGGAUUUGGAUUUGCGGUUCUUCUUGGGGAGGAUGCGAGGAAAGAAUGUGGAUGGCUGGAUGCAGCUCUGUAUCGGUGGCUCGCCAUCAAACAUGUCGUUGCCGCUACUGCCGCCGCUGCUCCCACUGCGAACGGAUGAGGAUUUGACUAGGGUUGGAUCAACAGAACACCGCAGCGAGAGAUCGAAGUCCGACAGCAUGAUGUGGCCUUCCUCCCUCACGAGAACAUUUUCUGGUUUCAAGUCUCUGUACACGAUGCCGAGCAUGUGCAGGUACUCGAGCGCAAGCAACACUUCAGAAGCAUAGAACCUGCUUCCUCAACAAUUACAAUAGAAUGAAUGAAUAAAACGUUUUCAAAGAUUAUGA